AUGGGCUUUUCUCAGUGUUGGGGCCGGAGGGGAGGUGGUUUUUCCUCACAGUUGGGGCUUCAUGGGACGGGGCUUUUCCUCAGGGUUGGGGCCAGAGGGGAAGGGGUUUUUCCUGAAGGUUGGUGCUGGAGGGGAAGGGGCUUUUACUCAGGGUUGGAAGUUUUUCCUCAGGGUUGGGGCAGGAUGGGAAGGGUCUUUUACUCAGGAUUGAGGCUGGAGGGAAGGGGCUUUUUCUCAGGUUUGGGACAGGGGUGGAAGUGGCUUUUCCUCAGUGUUGGUGGCAGAGAGGAAUGGGCUUUUCUCAGGGUUGGGGCUGGAGGGGAAGGGGUUUUCCCUCAGGGUUGGGGCUUCAUGGGAAGGUGCUUUUCCUCAGAGUUGGGUCAGGAGUUGAUGGGGCUUUUCCUCAGGGUUGGGUCCGGAGUUGAUGGGGCUUUUCCUCAGGGUUGGGGUCGGAGGGGAAGGAGUUUUUCCUCAGGGUUGGGGCUUCAUGGGUUGAUUGGGCUUUUCCUAGGGUUGGGUGUGGAGUUGAUGGGGCUUUUCCUCAGGUUUUGGGCCAGAGGGGAAUGGGCUAUUUCUCAGGGUUGGUGCAGGAGAGGAAUGGGCUUUUGCUUAGUGUUGGGGCCUGAGGGGAAGGGGAUUUUGUUUGGGGUUGGGGCCAGAGGUGAAGGGGCUUUUCCUCAGGGUUGGGGCCAGAGGGGAAGGGGUUUCUCCUCAGGGUUGGGGCCGGACCUGAAGGGCCUUUUCCUCAGGCUUGGGGCCGGACCUGAAGGGCCUUUUCCUCAGGAUUGGGCCUCAUGGAUAGUGGUUUUUCCUCAGGGUUGGGGAUUUUGAAGAAAAUGGGUUAUAUUUUUCUUAACACUACAAGAAAAGCUAGAGAGUUAGUAUUUCCUGAAGACUCAUCCAGUAUAUUUAAGAAUAGAGUGGUGUAUGCAUGACUACAAAUUAAGAAGUUGGGGAUCAUGAUAGUUCUUCUUGGGUCAGGAGUUGAUGGGGCUUUUCCUCAGGCUUAGGGCUGGAGGGGAAGGCGCUUUUCCUCAGGGUUGGGGAUUUUCCUCAGGGUUGCUGCCGGAGGGGAAGGGUUUUUUCUUUAUGCUUGGCGCUGGAUGGGAAGGGAUUUUUCCUCAGGGUUCGGGCUGGAGGCGAAGGGGCUUUUCCUCAGGGUUGGGGCUGGAGGGGAAGGGGCUUUUCCUUAGCGUUCGGGCCGGAGGGGAAGGGGCUUUUCCUCAGGGUUGUGGCUGGAGCGGAAGGGGCUUUUCCUCAGUGUUGGGGCUGGAGGGGAAGGGGUUUUCCGUCAGGGUUGGGGAUUUUCCUCAGAGUUGCUGCCGGAGGGGAAGGGGUUUUUCCUGAGCGUUGGCGCUGGAUGGGAAGGGGCUCUUCCUCAGGGUUGGGGCUGGAAUGAAAGGGGCUUUUCCUGAGGGUUGGGGCCGGAGGGGAAGGGG
ensembl:lncRNA